rnacentral:rRNA from 1 species
AUCUCAGUUCGGAUUGCAGGCUGCAACUCGCCUGCACGAAGCUGGAAUUGCUAGUAAUCGCGGAUCAGCAAGCCGCGGUGAAUACGUUCCCGGGCCUUGUACACACCGCCCGUCACACCAUGAGAGUCGGGAACACCCGAAGUCCGUAGUCUAACCGCAAGGGGGGCGCGGCCGAAGGUGGGUCCGGUAAUUGGGGUGAAGUCGUAACAAGGUAGC